GAUGAAGAACGUAGCGAAAUGCGAUAAGUAGUGUGAAUUGCAGAAUUCAGUGAAUCAUCGAAUCUUUGAACGCACAUUGCGCCCCUUGGUAUUCCAUGGGGCAUGCCUGUUCGAGCGUCAUUUGUACCUUCAAGCUCUGCUUGGUGUUGGGUGUUUGUCUCGCCUCUGCGCGUAGACUCGCCUCAAAACAAUUGGCAGCCGGCGUAUUGAUUUCGGAGCGCAGUACAUCUCGCGCUUUGCACUCAUAACGACGACGUCCAAAAGUACAUUUUUACACUCUUGACCUCGGAUCAGUUAGGGAUACCCGCUGAACUUAAGCAUAUCAAUAAGCGGAGGA
rnacentral:misc_RNA from 1 species